AACGAACGCUGGCGGCAUGCCUAACACAUGCAAGUCGAACGAGACCUUCGGGUCUAGUGGCGCACGGGUGCGUAACGCGUGGGAACCUGCCCUUAGGUUCGGAAUAACUCCCCGAAAGGGGUGCUAAUACCGGAUAAUGUCUUCGGCCCAAAGAUUUAUCGCCUUUGGAUGGGCCCGCGUUGGAUUAGCUCGUUGGUAGGGUAAAAGCCUACCAAGGCGACGAUCCAUAGCUGGUCUGAGAGGAUGAUCAGCCACACUGGGACUGAGACACGGCCUAGAAUCCUACGGGAGGAAGCAGUGGGGAAUAGUGGACAAUGGGCGAAAGCAUGAUCCAGCAAUGCCGCGUGAGUGAUGAAGGCCGUAGGGUUGUAAAGCUCUUUUACCCGGGAUGAUAAUGACAGUACCGGGAGAAUAAGCUCCGGCUAACUCCGUG
rnacentral:rRNA from 1 species